CCCAUUAGCUAGACGGCGGGGUGACGGCCCACCGUGGCGAUGAUGGGUAGCCGGCCUGAGAGGGUGUACGGCCACAUUGGAACUGAGACACGGUCCAGACUCCUACGGGAGGCAGCAGCUAAGAAUCUUCCGCAAUGGGCGAAAGCCUGACGGAGCGACGCCGCGUGAACGAAGAAGGCCGUGAGGUUGUAAAGUUCUUUUCGGGAGGGGGAACGAGGCCGCCAGGCAAUGGGCGGUCGAUGACGUGAAUCCCGGAAUAAGCCCCGGCUAACUACGUGCCAGCAGCCGCGGUAACACGUAGGGGGCGAGCGUUGUUCGGAAUCAUUGGGCGUAAAGGGCGUGCAGGCGGCCGCCAAAGUCCGGCGUGAAAGACCCAGGCUCAACCUGGGGGGUGCGCCGGAUACUGGGCGGCUCGAGUACAGGAGGGGACGGCGGAAUUCCAGGUGUAGGGGUGAAAUCUGUAGAUAUCUGGAGGAACACCGAUGGCGAAGGCAGCCGUCUGGCCAUGUACUGACGCUGAGGCGCGAAGGUGCGGGGAGCAAAGGGGUUUAGAUACCCUGGUAGUCCGCACAGUAAACGAUAGGGCAGGCGGCGGGGGCAACCUCGUGCCCGCAGUCAACGCAUUAAAAGCCCCGCCCGGGGAGGAUGCCCGCAAGGGGGAAACUCAAAGGAAUUGACGGGGGCCCGCCCAAGCGGUGGAGCAUGUGGUUUAAUUCGAUGAUACGCGAGAAACCUUACCAGGGCUUGACAUGCGCCGGGAGGGCGUCGAAAGGAGCGCGCCCCUCGGGGCCGGCGCACAGGUGCUGCAUGGCUGUCGUCAGCUCGUGCUGUGAAGUGUUGGGUUAAGUCCCGCAACGAGCGCAACCCCCGCCGUCUGUUGCCACCACCUCGGGUGGGCACUCAGGCGGGACCGCCGGUGACAAACCGGAGGAAGGUGGGGAGGACGUCAAGUCAUCAUGGUCCUUAUGUCUUGGGGUACACACGUGCUACAAUGGCCGGUACAGAGCGCAGCGAGGCCGCGAGGCCGAGCGAAUCGCCCAAAGCCGGUCCCAGUACGGAGUGGAGUCUGCACCUCGACUCCACGAAGUAGGAAUCGCUAGUAAUCACGCAUCAGCAUGGCG
rnacentral:rRNA from 1 species